CUUUUUGAGAGUUUGAUCCUGGCUCAGGAUAAACGCUGGCGGCGUGCCUUAGGCAUGCAAGUCGAAUGCACUGAAAAAUCGCAAGAUUUUUUAGUGAAUGGCGGACGGGUGAGUAAUAGUAAGGAAUCUGCCCCGAAGUGAAGGACAUCUCGUCGAAAGACGGGGUAAUCCUGCAUAAUCUCGCAAGAGCAAAGAGCGUAACUGCUCGCUACGGGAGGAGCCUUACUCCUAUCAGCUAGUUGGUGGGGUAAAAGCCUACCAAGGCUAUGACGGGUAGCUGGUGUGAGAGCAUGACCAGCCACAAUGGCACUGAGAUACGGGCCAUACACCUACGGGUGGCAGCAACCGGGAAUCGUCGGCAAUGGACGAAAGUCUGACCGCGCGACGCCGCGUGAGGGAUGAAGUAUUUCGGUAUGUAAACCUCUUUUACCAGGGAAAAGUAAGGAUGGUACCUGGGGAAUAAGCGCCUACUAACUACGUGCCAGCAGUCGCGGUAAUACGUAGGGCGCAAGCGUUAUCCGGAUUCACUGGGCGUAAAAGGUCGCGUAGGCGGUCUAUCGCAUCUUGUUUUAAAUUGUUCCGCUUAACGGAAUAUCGGGCAAGAGAUGGAUAGACUAGAGAUUUGGUGGGGUUUUCGGAACUCACGGUGUAGCAGUGAAAUGCGUUGAUAUCGUGAGGAACACCAAGAGCGAAGGCAGAAAACCAACCUGUAUCUGACGCUGAGGCACGAAAGCUAGGGGAGCGAAGCAGAUUAGAGACCUGCGUAGUCCUAGCCGUAAACGCAUGGAUGCUAGAUGCUUGCUUCGCGAAGCGCGGGAUUUGUUUCCCGUAUUUCGCGAAGCAAGUGUCGCAAGCUAACGCGUUAAGCAUCCUGCCUGGGGAGUACAAUCGCAAGAUUAAAACUCAAAGGAAUUGGCGGGGACCCGCACAACCGGUGGAGCAUGUGGUUCAAUUCGAGACGAAGCGAAAGACCUCACCAAGGUUUGACAUGUUAUCGUUUAUUUUUCUGGAAACAGAGAGAAAUCCGCAAGGAUGAUAACACAGCUGCUGCAUGGCCGUCGUCAGUUCGUACCGUGAGGUGUUCCCUUAAGUGGGAUAACGAACGCAACCCCUAUCCUUUGUUAAAUUUUCAAAGGAGACUGUCCCCGAUAUUAUCGGGGGAGGAAGGUGGGGACGACGUCAGGUCAGCACGGCGCCUAUGCCUUGGGCCACACACAUCCUACAAUGGCGAAUAACAACGGGAUGCAAGCACGCAAGUGUAAGCAAAUCCCUGAAAUUUCGCCUCAGUUGGGAUUGAAGUCUGCAACUCGACUUCAUGAACGCGGAAUCGGUAGUAAUCGCGGAUCAGCAUGGCCGCGGUGAAUACGUUCUCGGGUCUUGCACACACCGCCCGUCAAGCCAACAAAGUCGGGGGCGGCUGAUAUUCUCGAUUUAUCGAGGACGAAGCCGAACUCGGUGAUGGGGACUAAGUCGUAACAAGGUAUCCCUACUGGAAGGUGGGGAUGGAUCACCUCCUUU
rfam:Candidatus Gottesmanbacteria bacterium RIFCSPHIGHO2_01_FTLL_39_10 rifcsphigho2_01_scaffold_32740, whole genome shotgun sequence.